UGGGAGUAAUACCGUAUGUGGUCGAGAGACGAAAGAUUUAUCGCCAAGGGAUCGGCCCGCGUUGGAUUAGGUAGUUGGUGGGGUAAUGGCCUACCAAGCCGACGAUCCAUAGCUGGUUUGAGAGGAUGAUCAGCCACACUGGGACUGAGACACGGCCCAGACUCCUACGGGAGGCAGCAGUGGGGAAUCUUAGACAAUGGGGGAAACCCUGAUCUAGCCAUGCCGCGUGAUCGAUGAAGGCCUUAGGGUUGUAAAGAUCUUUCAGGUGGGAAGAUAAUGACUGUACCACCAGAAGAAGCCCCGGCUAACUCCGUG
rnacentral:rRNA from 1 species